CCUACGGGUGGCAGCAGUGAGGAAUAUUGGUCAAUGGACGAGAGUCUGAACCAGCCAAGUAGCGUGAAGGAUGACUGCCCUAUGGGUUGUAAACUUCUUUUAUACGGGAAUAAAAUGAUUCACGUGUGGCAUAUUGCAUGUACCACAUGAAUAAGGACCGGCUAAUUCCGUGCCAGCAGCCGCGGUAAUACGGAGGAUCCGAGCGUUAUCCGGAUUUAUUGGGUUUAAAGGGAGCGUAGGCGGAUUGUUAAGUGAGUUGUGAAAGUAUGCGGCUCAACCGUAAAAUUGCAGUUGAAACUGGCGGUCUUGAGUGCGGUAGAGGUAGGCGGAAUUCGUGGUGUAGCGGUGAAAUGCUUAGAUAUCACGAAGAACUCCGAUUGCGAAGGCAGCUCACUGUACUGCAACUGACACUGAGGCUCGAAGGUGUGGGUAUCGAACAGGAUUAGAUACCCUAGUAGUC
rnacentral:rRNA from 1 species